GGAUUUAGUGUGAGCCGUUGAAUUUUUUUUCUUGUUUUCAUUUUUAUUUCUUUGUGACAAAGGUACAUAUUGAAAAAAACAAGGAAAAGCUCAUUUUGGUAGCUUGUUUAAAAACAGGAUGAAAGAUAAUAUAGUAGAGAUGUGAGUAUCUCCCUCUUGUGGACUAAUGCGGGAAUUUCAUCAAGGUAGAACCCGUGUCUACAGUCCCGCAGUACAGUGACACAAGAGGGCAAACGUGCGCGUUUCAUUGAACUAGACAAAGAGCGCUAUCAUUUAUCAUUAUUACUGCAUUAAUUCGUCUUAAACACUCCAGGAACAAGAUUGUGUUUGUAGUUCAAAUCUUUUACUUGAAUGAAUUUAAAAUUAGGGUAACAGACGUCACAAUGAGCUAAACUCUGCAACUGAGACUUGGUUUGGAUGAUGAUGUCAUAUUUAUAAGCGCACGUGAGCAGCAUGCAACACACUGACCUGGACUUGCUCAUCGCGGACCUGUUCCUCGAAGGGGGCCUUGUUGUCUUACCCUGACACCUUCUUACACUUACUAAAAUGGAAAACAAUCUCCAGCAAACGUGUGCACUGACGCCAGAGGGAGGUAAAACCGCAGUGGGCAGCGCCAGCGAGCCCUGUAGCGGAGUGGGACGUGGGUUCCCGGCCCGUGAGAAAAGAGGGUGUGGAAUUCCCACGGCACGCGCGGCGGCACGGACUGCAUGGUCUUGAUGAGGUUAUUUUCUCUCGCUAAAAAAACCUCGGGAAUCUUAUUGGCGGGGCGGGGGCGGAGACACUGGGUGAUGAAGGUAAUGUUGUUUUAUUCAAUUGCCAAGUUGUUGCUCAAAUUUAAAUUUUAACUGGAUGUAAAAACGCGUUGACAGCGGUUCAUUUUCAUUCUUAUCAGACUGGGGGUUUCAAUCAAUGGCACUGCUAAUAGUUAAUAUGCUUGAGUUGAGCAAGGUAACUUAUCAGCUAACUUACUUUAUCAAGUAAAACAUAGCCAGCUACAGUACAUAGAUGGAUCAUUGUAAGUAGCUCAGCAAUGUCAGUCCUUGGACAAAGGAAUAACCUACAUAAGGUUUAAUGAUGAUAUUUUAUGAACAAUAAAGCGUUGUCCCUAAAAUGUAUUUCGUUUCCA
rnacentral:lncRNA from 1 species